AAAAUGCUGCCAGACAAGUAUUUUUCAUUUCCUACUUAAGAGUUGCUCUUUCCUUACUUUAUACACACACUAUACACUCUAGACAUCUUUUUUAAACUCUAAAAAGACAACUUUGGAAGUAAAAAAUCAGCAGAUGAAACAUCCUUUGGCAGCUGAAAAUUGUGAGCUUGUGUGAUUCUUAGAGCACAAAAACGUGGAGAAAAAUAGAAAGAUCUUUUUAGAUAAUUUCUGAGUUUUUUAGUUUUUAGGUUUCAAGUGUGUUUUGUUGAAUUUUAUGGAUUUUUUCUGAGUUGGUUUCUGCCGUUUGUUGAGUUGAAGUAAGCUGGUUCAAUCCUACAAAGUUUAGAGUUUACUUUGCUACUCAUUACUUAUUUUUCUGCCAUAAUAGGUAUUUAUCUCAAUUAUGUAGUUCUCAAAGUAUAUUGAAAACUAUGAAAAUAAAGUUUAGAGCUUCACUUGUGUUUAUUUGUUAGUUUCGGUACAUUUUUGUCAUGUUUAAUAAUAGAGUAAUGUUUAUUCAUAUACAAAUGUUGGCUAUGUAACCAAAAUGUUUUUAGUUUCC
rnacentral:lncRNA from 1 species